rnacentral:tRNA from 1 species
CCCAGGUUAGCUCAGUUGGUAGAGCGCUCCACUGGAAAUGGAGAGGUCACUGUUUGAAUACCACCAGGAC